UACGGAGGAUUCAAGCGUUAUCCGGAUUUAUUGGGUUUAAAGGGUGCGUAGGCGGUCGGAUAAGUUAGAGGUGAAAUCCCGAGGCUCAACUUCGGAAUUGCCUCUGAUACUGUUCGGCUAGAGAGUAGUUGCGGUAGGCGGAAUGUAUGGUGUAGCGGUGAAAUGCUUAGAGAUCAUACAGAACACCGAUUGCGAAGGCAGCUUACCAGGCUACUUCUGACGUUGAGGCACGAAAGCGUGGGGAGCAAACAGG
rnacentral:rRNA from 1 species